UACGGAGGGAGCUAGCGUUAUUCGGAAUUACUGGGCGUAAAGCGCACGUAGGCGGCUUUGUAAGUUAGAGGUGAAAGCCUGGAGCUCAACUCCAGAAUUGCCUUUAAGACUGCAUCGCUUGAAUCCAGGAGAGGUGAGUGGAAUUCCGAGUGUAGAGAUGAAAUUCGUAGAUAUUCGGAAGAACACCAGUGGCGAAGGCGGCUCACUGGACUGGUAUUGACGCUGAGGUGCGAAAGCGUGGGGAGCAAACAGG
rnacentral:rRNA from 1 species